rnacentral:rRNA from 1 species
CAGCAGUGGGGAAUAUUGGACAAUGGGCGAAAGCCUGAUCCAGCAAUGCCGCGUGGGUGAAGAAGGCCUGCGGAUUGUAAAGCCCUGUCGGUAGGGAGGAAAAGCUGGAGGUUAAUACCUUCCAGUGUUGACGUUACCUACAGAAGAAGCACCGGCUAACUCUGUG